ensembl:lncRNA
GAACAAACUGCUCAUUUAAAUGUGACCCGGGACACACAGGAUCCAUAUCUCCACUGGUGUCUGCUGCUCCUCUGGUUCCCUCAGAGCUCCUCCAGAUUGGUAGAGAAGGCCAUCUGCUCCUGUGGUUUAUCAGGAUUUUAUGUUCUGAGCUCCGGGCCAACUGUGGACACACUCGUAUGGCCCUCGACCCAAAUAACACGUCUGCAGAGCGGCUUAGCACAACAUGAGCGCGGCACAACAGAACCACUUCUCCCCCUGAACAGCAUUGAUUACACUGAGCUCAUGGAGUCCGUGGUGAAAGUGAAGAAGUGCUUUCAGAAGCCCAUGAGGAAGCUGACGAGCUGCGUGCUGAGGCAGGAGGAAAAGAGGCUCUGCUCUGGACACAGCCCUGGAUUUACCAAUCUCUACUGAACUAAAGGGCAACAAGAGGUAGAGGGUCCGGCACCAGGAGGAGGAGGAAGGACCCUCUGAGACAGACCCCCCCUCGCUCCUACCAGGCCGACCUCGACAAGGAGAGGAAGCUGAGGGAAGCGAUGAAUGCUCAGAAGAACGCAGAGAGAGCUGCCAUGAGAGCGCACUUCAGGAGGAAAUACCAACUGUCUGAGGACCCUCAGGACCGGUACCACCUGCGCUCUGUCGGGGGGAAAGUGGCGCUGCCUCGUGAGCUGUCCAAGAUCAUUUGUCCUGAAGCUCAGACCAAGGACGAACGUUUCGACCUGCUCAGCGCCUUCCAAGGACUCAGCCUCAGCCCAGUGAUCGGAGCCAGCGGCCCGAGUGCAGACGGCUGCAGAGUCAUGUGACCUGAGUCUGCAGAGUCAUGUGACCUCAUCAUUUAAGUCUACAGAGUCAUGUGACCUCAUCUGUAGUCAUGCGACCUCAUCAUUCAAGGCUGAUGCCAAAGAGACUGUUUUUAAGAACUGUCUAUGUCCCAUUUGCUGCUAUAGUCAGAGGAAUGGGUUUUAUUGUAGUCUCACUUGAAUGUUUGCAAAUUUCAAAUGUAUUCACUUAUUUCUGUUGUUUUGCCUUUUCUGUCACGAUCAGAUGAUAAUGUC